rnacentral:rRNA from 1 species
UACAGAGGUCUCAAGCGUUGUUCGGAUUCAUUGGGCGUAAAGGGUGCGUAGGCGGUUUGUCGCGUCUGCUGUGAAAACUCGGGGCUUAACUCCGGGCCUGCAGUGGGUACGGGCAGACUAGAGUGCGGUAGGGGAGACUGGAAUUCCUGGUGUAGCGGUGAAAUGCGCAGAUAUCAGGAGGAACACCGGUGGCGAAGGCGGGUCUCUGGGCCGUAACUGACGCUGAGGAGCGAAAGCGUGGGGAGCGAACAGG